ensembl:lncRNA
CUGUGGAUUCAUGUGCGUUAUUGUUUAUCUUUGAAUGCAAAUGUAUUUAUUGCAAACUGGGAUUGCAAUUAUUUCCUGAUAUAACUGUACUGGCUUCUCAGUAAACCGACUCUGAACACCCAUGCCCGCCUCAGAUUGUUGCCUUCGUCUCUGCAGGAGAGGACAAGACAUCCCCCACAGGGUUCCAUCCUAGAGCUACAAGACCCUAGAAUGAUGACCUGCUCUGUCUUUAAAGGAGAGGACAAGACAUCCCCCACAGGGUUCCAUCCUAGAGCUACAAGACCCUAGAAUGAUGACCAGCUCUGUCUUUAAAGGAGAGGACAAGACAUCCCCCACAGGGUUCCAUCCUAGAGCUACAAGACCCUAGAAUGAUGACCUGCUCUGUCUUUAAAGGAGAGGACAAGACAUCCCCCACAUGGUUCCAUCCUAGAGCUACAAGACCCUAGAAUGAUGACCAGCUCUGUCUUUAAAGGAGAGGACAAGAUAUCCCCCACAUGGUUCCAUCCUAGAGCUACAGGUCCCUAGAAUGAUGACCAGCUCUGUCUUUAAAGGAGAGGACAAGACAUCCCCCACAGGGUUCCAUCCUAGAGCUACAAGAUCCUGAGACAUUAGUUUAACAGAACACGUUUCUCUGCCCAGAUUGAGACUAGGGGUAAUGUUCCCCUACUCAGAUGUUACAUUCAUCAACCAUUGCUAUAACAUGAUGUGGUUAGUCGAAACUUAAAAUACAUAUCCAGGCGUUGUGAGGUCAGGCGUCAGCAACUUCUGAGCAGAGGAACGCGCCUUACAUCAACUCAAAAUAGAGGGAGGAGAUUCUCUGCAUAGCGUUAACCUGAAUCAUCUCAAAAUGGCUGCUAUCGUGAGACUCCACAGACUAACGAAGGAUCAACUGUCUCUUGCUGCUCAGAAGAACAAUAACAAACCAGGCAGAAAACCAACGAAGAAGAAAAACUCCACCACCAGAGGAAGGAACCAAUCCACAGGAAAAGGAAACAACUCUGCUGACAGUGAAAGUGUUUGUAGCCAGGUAUCAUCGGCCCCUAAGUGGUGGGGUCGCCCCAAGGGAAGCAAAAACAAACCCAAGAUAAGUCUACAACUCUCCAGCGCCAUCUUGAGGCCUGACGAGGUAAAACAAGAGGACAAUGACCCGACACACCUCCAGGCUGUGUAAGGGCUAUUUUACCAAGAAAGAGAGUGAUGGAGUGCUGCCUCAGAUGACCUGGCCUCCACAAUCCCCCGACCUCAACCAAAUUGAGAUGGUUUGGGAUGAGUCGGACCGCAUAGUGAAGGAAAAGCAGCCAACAAGUGCCCAGCAUAUGUGGGAACUCCUUCUAGACUGUUGGAAAGGCAUUCCAGGUGAAGCUGGUUGAGAGAAUGGCAAUAGUGUGCAAAGCUGUCAAGGCAAAGGGUGGCUAUUUGAAAAAUCUCAAAUAUUUUUGAUUUGUUUAACACUUUUUUGCUUACAUGAUUCCAUAUGUG